UGGGGAAUAUUGGACAAUGGGGGGAACCCUGAUCCAGCCAUGCCGCGUGUGUGAAGAAGGCCUUAUGGUUGUAAAGCACUUUAAGCGAGGAGGAGGGUACUGGUAUUAAUACUACCAGCUACUGGACGUUACUCGCAGAAUAGGCACCGGCUAACUCUGUGCCAGCAGCCGCGGUAAUACAGAGGGUGCGAGCGUUAAUCGGAUUUACUGGGCGUAAAGCGUGCGUAGGCGGCUAAUUGAGUCGGAUGUGAAAUCCCCGAGCUUAACUUGGGAAUUGCAUUCGAUACUGGUUAGCUAGAGUGUGGGAGAGGAUGGUAGAAUUCCAGGUGUAGCGGUGAAAUGCGUAGAGAUCUGGAGGAAUACCGAUGGCGAAGGCAGCCAUCUGGCCUAACACUGACGCUGAGGUACGAAAGCAUGGGGAGCAAACAGG
rnacentral:rRNA from 1 species